UCAACCACUGAGCCAACUAGGCGUCCCAUUUCCCAGGAUCUUUGUCUACUACUGUGUCCUCCACUCCCUACCACCCAUCCGCAUACAUUGUCCUUCCCUUCUUGAAGACAGAGGACGAAUCUAAAAUAAUUUUCCUCAAAACACCUAUUCCUGUUCUUCAUAUAAUCACUCAAAGGAAAGCAAGUAGGACAAUAUUAAAGGGUGGAUUACCUUAUUGCUCUCAAGAAUUUUGUGAGAAAAUACAUUAAACCAAAGGACUGAGCUCUAAUGGCAUAAUCCUAGACAGGCUGGUGGGCAGAUGAGUCAUAAUUAUGGGUUAAAGAGUUUCACUUUUUGCUACUUACUUCCUGAUUCUCCUGCCUAGUUGUAAAGGGGCUCAGGAACAAAAGGUGACACAAGAUGCCUACUGCCAGGUUACAAAUCCCACGUAAGUUACAAACUAUCUCUGAAGUCAGAGAUAUAAGGUCAGUCACUGUUAGGACCUUAAUUCUCUCAUCUGUAAAAUGGGAGGGAUGAUCAUAUCUGUGCUGCCUAGCUUCAGAGAGAAUAAACCCAUCAUUUCCAAGAAAGAAGAUAAACUUUAGACUUCAAUUUAGAUAAAAUUGAAUGUUGUAGUGAUACUUGUCAACCUAAAUUUGUACACUUGUGGAAAAACUACAGUUGAUUAAAAAUAAAAACAAAAGACAUCAGCUACCCAGUUUAAAAUGAUAAUUUUCCAAUCACAAUUAUUAACUGAGCUUCUUUCAUAGUCGAGAAGGAAUGAAUUAUGACCUUAAAACAAAGGUCUUUCCUUGUAAUCCACUUAUUCAAGCCAGAUUUCUAAUUCUUGGGUUAUAAUUUACAGACUAAUGUUUUCAUUAUGCUUUAUCUCAACAAUUCUCUUAAGUAGUUAUUGUGUGCAAGGCACAAUGCGGGGAGGGAAGUGGGGGGUGGAGGAUAUAAUGCUGAGUGAACCAUAGACCCUUUCUGUGAACAGUUUACGAGUAUGGCCCUUGUUGAUUUAAAGGGUAAAUCAGGGGCACCUGGGUGGCUCAGUCGGUAAAGCAUCUGCCUUCGGCUCAGGUCAUGAUCCCAGGGUCCUGGGAUCAAGCACCUAUUGGGUUCCCCACUCAGCGGGGUGUCUGCUUCUCCCCCUGUUCUUGCUCUCUCUCUCUCUCACUCUCUCAACUAAAUUAAUUAAUUAAAUAUUUUUUUAAGAAAUGGCUAAAUUGAAGUUCUGGUUGGAAAUUAAAUAACCCAAGGAGAGAUCAGAGCAAGAGAGCAAGAGACGUCAUGAUGUAAUCAUGAUAGUUCUAGAGAAGGAGGCCUGUUGGACAAGACAAUGGGAUAGGUUAAUCAGUAGAGUGAGCUCAAGCUGGGAAAAAGGAAAGCGAUGCCCAGACUCCUUAAAACAUAUAAACGUUACUUCAUUUUUAUUCUCUUUUGAUGAAGGACAAGGCCUUUGCUCUGUGUGCGGGCCUGUUGUUGGUUGGAGCUCUGCUUAGUCUCUUAAGCCAAACAACAUCGUUCAGAUUCCAGUUUCGGCUUCACUGAGUGGGGCAAGACCUUCAGGAUGUUUGUUUGAUACCAGCCACCAUGGAGCUUUUCCAAAUCACUCAUCUUAAUUUUCAUAGAAACAACUCUUUUAUUUUUUCACUCUCAUAUUUCAUUAGUUUACGUAACAGUUGAUUAAAUUACAUAAUUAAAAUAGCAAGUGGAAUUGCAUAAACAGCUUUUAGAACAAACCACUAGUCUGUAGGAGGCAUUCUGUUCAGUAGACAGACAAGCCAAGCAGAGAUUAAGGGAUGUGCCAGGAGUCUUCAGCCCAGAAGUGCACAGGGGAGAGACCAACUAACAGAGUGGAAAGCCUCCCAUCAUCCAGUGAGUUGGCGAAGUGAAGUCUAGGGCUUCUCCCAUACAUUGAGGUGACUAGUGAGGUAAAAGGAGGAAUUGGUGAUCAAGAAAAGAGGCUCAAUAAAUUAUGGAAUGAAUGGUCUUCAGAGUCACUAAGAGGAAGAAAAUUGAAAAGAUUGCCUGGCUAAUUGAAAAAGAAAUUUGUUUGAGGGCCUCAGGUGGAUAAUGAUGCUUUCCGCUCAUUUGCUGGUUUUAACAUUGUUGAACAUAUCCCUGAUCAUAAGAUCUGUUUUUCCAUAAGGAGUGAGUUGAUAUCACACCAUGAAAAAGGAGAGUAAAAUACCCAGCCCUGAGAGACCAUUUUCCACGUCUUCCCUCUCUCUCUCUUCCACCAUCAGUAAUGAAUUAAGUCAGCUGUCACUGCGUGACUUUGGGACAGAGAAACUAAAGUAAAAGCAAAACCAUGAAAAACUGGUUUUUUGCUCCUUUUCCUGCUUCUAUUCUUGCUGGGACCUACACCCCCACCUUAUAUAAGCCUUAUAAAACAGAUAGUGGCCAUUGCUGCUAGAAACAUCGGGGUGCAGGUGUC